rnacentral:lncRNA from 10 species
CAGGAUGCCGCUGAUGGAGUACGACGAGCCGGCCGAAUCCGUGCUCACCGAGGACACCUGCGUCACGGAGCCAGUGGACACUGCGCGGAGAAAGACGGGCGGUCAGGGCCGCAGAGGGCUGAGGGCGGCGGACCGGCUGUCACCGCACAACCUUAGGCUCUGAAGAGUUUGUAGACGUCCAGCAAGGACCACGCAUGCGCAAGACAGCAAGUCCGGCGCAUCUGAGAGCAGCAGAACAGGGCCACGCGAAAAGCUCCUUCGGAUCUACCAGAAAGCUCCUUCCUUGGCAUUUGGGAGAAGAGUGGGUCAUAAUAAAAUGUCCGGUUUCUUUGGAAAAGUUAUAUUCCAGUCUCAAACUAUUACCUUUUGAAAGGACAUUUAUUAGAGUUUUUUCUCAUUAUAACAGUAAUAUACGUUCAUUGUAGACUCUUUGGACAGUAUGGGAAAGUAUAAAGAAGACAUCUAAAAACGGUAUUUUGGUGUAUUUCCUUUAUACCAACAUUCCUGGGCAUAUUUAGAAAUAUCCAUUUUUCUCUUAACAAAAUCAGGAUUAUGCCAUGUAUACAGUUUUUUUUGUUGUGGUGGUUGUUUGUUUUGAGACAGAGUCUUGCUCUGUUGCCCAGGCUGGAGUAUAGUGGUGCGAUCUCAGUUCACUGCAACCUCCGCCUCCCAGGUUUGAGUGAUUCUCCUGCCUCAUCCUCCCAAGUAUCUAGGAUUACAGGCAUGCGCCACCAUGCCC